GACAGAGGGUGCAAACGUUGUUCGGAAUUACUGGGCGUAAAGCGUGUGUAGGCGGCCAAGCAAGUCGGAUGUGAAAGCCCAGGGCUCAACCCUGGAAGUGCACUCGAUACUGCCUGGCUUGAGUAUCGGAGAGGUUGGUGGAAUUCUCGGUGUAGAGGUGAAAUUCGUAGAUAUCGAGAGGAACACCGGUGGCGAAGGCGGUUGCCUGGAGCUUUGCUGACGCUGAGGCGCGAAAGCGUGGGGAGCGAUCCGG
rnacentral:rRNA from 1 species